AUGUUAGCAAGACAAAGUUGGCGCUUGUUACAAUCCCCAGAUUCUCUUUGUGGUGCUGUCCUAAAAGCGAAGUACUUCCCAAACUGCUCUAUAUUGGAGGCUGUACCGCAAAAGGGUAUGUCAUAUACAUGGAGGAGUAUAUUGAGGGGACUUGAUCUGAUGAGAGAAGGUGUUAUAUGGCGAGUUGGGGAUGGUGAAUCUAUACAGGUAUGGAGAGAUCCAUGGAUACCAAGAGGAGGUACAAGGAGGCCGACCUUCGGUCGAGGUCAAGUAAUAUUGGAUAAAGUUGUAGAGCUCAUUAAUCCUACCACGGAGCAGUGGGACGCGGAGCUAGUUAACGAUUUAUUCUGUCCGGAAGAUGCAAAAGAGAUACUUGCUAUACCUCUUAGAAGUGGGAUGGAAGAUCAUGUAGCCUGGCAUUUUGAUAGCAAGGGUGUUUUUUCAGUAAAAUCUGCAUACAGACUAGGAGUUACUCUAAGAGAUGCGAGGAGCCAGGCAAAUGCGAGUUCAUCAGUAGGAACGAGUGCGGGGAGAUCACAAUGGACGAAACUUUGGUCCAUCCAAUUGCCAGCAAAAGUACGUAUUUUUCUUUGGAGACUGGCUUAUGAUAGCUUACCGACGCGUAUGAAUAUUAAAAGGAAGCAUGUAGACCUUGAUACUCGAUGUCCAGUUUGCUUGAGGCUGGAUGAAGUUGGGGGUCACAUCUUUCUCAAAUGUAAGUUUGUGAAGAGGCUAUGGAGAGCUUUGAAUCUGGAAGCCGUGAGGUUACAACUGCUAAAUUAUGGGUCUGCUCAGGCUGCUGUGGAGGCGAUUUGUUCGCUUAAAACUGAGGAGAAAAAUAUUGUUUGCGUAUUAUUAUGGGACUGGUGGAUAGCCCGCAAUAAGAUAAACGCAGGGGAACAUGCCAAAACUACGGAGGAGUUAUGUUACUUUAUUCGUAAGCACAUCGGGGAAUUUACUAGUGCAGCUGAAACUAACGUUAUAAAUCGAGAGCCAGCUCAAAAUUGGAGGUGUCCUCCUGAGAAUUUUGUGAAGAUAAAUUUUGAUGCAGCGUUCCAGGAGCAGCAGAAUGAUGGGGCGUUUGGCUACGUUGUUCGAACUAAUACAGGCGAUACAAUUGCGGCCGGUGCGGGAAAACUGAAGCAUGUGAAAAGUGCGCUACACGCUGAAGCUUUAGCAUGCAUUGCAGCCAUUGAGGGGUCUUCAGAUAUUGGUAUUCAUAGGGUGCUGCUAGAGUCUGAUUCCCAGCAGCUUGUCUACGCGCUGAAGCGGGGAGAUGCGGAUUUAUCGGAUAUUGGGGUCCUAUUCCGAGAAGCUAGGAGUUUAUGUGUUUUGGCUUUCGAAAGAUAUGAUUUUAUGCAUUGUAAACGUAGUUGUAAUGCCGUAGCUCAUGCUUUGGCGAAGUAUGGUUUUGGUUCGCCUGAAUCCUCACUAGUUUGGGGGGAACUUAUGCCAAGUUUUGUUUUAGAUUUGGUAGCCAGCGAUGUUGCUGAGCCCAGUGGUUAA
rnacentral:rRNA from 1 species